rnacentral:rRNA from 1 species
UAGGGAAUCUUCGGCAAUGGACGGAAGUCUGACCGAGCAACGCCGCGUGAGUGAAGAAGGUUUUCGGAUCGUAAAGCUCUGUUGUUAGAGAAGAACGUUGGUAGGAGUGGAAAAUCUACCAAGUGACGGUAACUAACCAGAAAGGGACGGCUAACUACGUGCCAGCAGCCGCGGUAAUACGUAGGUCCCGAGCGUUGUCCGGAUUUAUUGGGCGUAAAGCGAGCGCAGGCGGUUCUUUAAGUCUGAAGUUAAAGGCAGUGGCUUAACCAUUGUACGGGUUGGAAACUGGAGGAGUUGAGUGCAGAAGGUGAGAGUGGAACUCCAUGUGUAGCGGUGAAAUGCGUAGAUAUAUGGAGGAACACCGGUGGCGAAAGCGGCUAUCUGGGCUGUAACUGACGCUGAGGCUCGAAAGCGUGGGGAGCAAACAGG